CCUCCUCCUUCUCCUGCUGCUGCUCCUCUUCCCCCUCCCCAAUCUCCCUCCCUCCUCACUCCUCUCCGCGCAGUCGUGGGAUCUUGGAAGAAAGCGUCCAUUAAGGCAACGUGUGACCAUGUAAGGGAAGGAGACAUAAACCAGAUAUGAGGCAAGUGGCAAGAACUGUGGCCCUCAGCUGGGACAAGAAUGAAGAGUUCAAGUCCCACCAGGAGCCUCAAAUCAGCAAGAAAAAAAAAAGACAGGAAACAUUGUGGAAAGAUGGGUCAUA